UACAGAGGUCUCGAGCGUUGUUCGGAUUCAUUGGGCGUAAAGGGUGCGUAGGUGGCGCUGUAAGUCGGGUGUGAAAUCCUGAGGCUUAACCUCGGAACUGCAUUCGAUACUGCGGCGCUUGAGGACUGGAGAGGAGACUGGAAUUCAUGGUGUAGCAGUGAAAUGCGUAGAGAUCAUGAGGAAGACCAGUGGCGAAGGCGGGUCCCUGGACAGUUCCUGACACUGAGGCACGAAGGCCAGGGGAGCAAACGGG
rnacentral:rRNA from 1 species